GACGAACGCUGGCGGCGUGCUUAACACAUGCAAGUCGAACGAGUGGCGAACGGGUGAGUAACACGUUGGUGAUCUGCCUUGCACUUCGGGACAAGCUUCGUAAACUGGGUGAAAUACCGGAUAGUGCAAGAGGAGCGCGCGGCCUAUCGGCUUGUUGGUGGGGUAAUGGCUACCGGGGCGCGACGGGUAGCCGGCCUGAGAGGGUGUACGGCCACAUUGUGACUGAGAGACGGCCCAGACUCCUACGUGAGGCAGCAGGGUGGGAUAUUGCACAAUGGGCGGACGCCUGAUGCAGCGACGCCGCGUGGGGGAUGAGGGCCUUCGGGUUGUAAACUCCUUUCGACAGGGACGCGGUACCUGUAUAAGAGGCGCCGGCUAACUACGUGCCAGCCGCCGCGGUAAUUC
rnacentral:rRNA from 1 species